GACGUAUACGGUGUGACGCCUGCCCGGUGCCGGAAGGUUAAUUGAUGGGGUUAUCCGUAAGGAGAAGCUCUUGAUCGAAGCCCCGGUAAACGGCGGCCGUAACUAUAAAGGUCCUAAGGUAGCGAAAUUCCUUGUCGGGUAAGUUCCGACCUGCACGAAUGGCGUAAUGAUGGCCAGGCUGUCUCCACCCGAGACUCAGUGAAAUUGAACUCGCUGUGAAGAUGCAGUGUACCCGCGGCAAGACGUAAAGACCCCGUGAACCUUUACUAUAGCUUUACACUGAACAUUGAG
rnacentral:rRNA from 1 species